UAAGGCUGGUGGACCAGACUGACAGAGUAUUACUCAGACCAGAUGUUACCAGAUCAUAAGACUGGUGGACCAGAUUGACAGAGUAUUACUCAGACCAGAUGUUACCAGAUCAUAAGGCUGGUGGACCAGACUGACAGAGUAUUACUCAGACCAGAUGUUACCGGUUAAUAAGGCUGGUGGACCAGACUGACAGAGUAUUACUCAGACCAGAUGUUACCAGGUAAUAAGGCUGGUGGACCAGACUGACAGAGUAUUACUCAGACCAGAUGUUACCAGGUAAUAAGGCUGGUGGACCAGAUUGACAGAGUAUUACUCAGACCAGAUGUUACCAGGUAAUAAGGCUGGUGGACCAGAUUGACAGAGUAUUACUCAGACCAGAUGUUACCAGGUAAUAAGGCUGGUGGACCAGACUGACAGAGUAUUACUCAGACCAGAUGUUACCAGGUAAUAAGGCUGGUGGACCAGAUUGACAGAGUAUUACUCAGACCAGAUGUUACCAGAUAAUAAGGCUGGUGGACCAGACUGACAGAGUAUUACUCAGACCAGAUGUUACCAGAUCAUAAGGCUGGUGGACCAGAUUGACAGAGUAUUACUCUAAUAAUGUCUGUCUCUGUCAGACCAAUGCAGUUAGUAUUAACAUAUCAAAUACCUACAAAACGCUGUGAAAAUCAUUUAAAACAGACAUUUAUAUAGACAUUGGUUGUGAUUAUUCAAACGCUGUUAUUUGCGACGUGUAUAAUACGGUAUCGUCGUACAACUUCAUUUCCCUCCAAUACUUGUGUGUCACUAAAAUGACUCCGUUUGCCAGUGUUUUAUCAGCAUCAUUGUGUCAGGUUGGAAGAAUGCAUCACCCAUUCUAUCUGAUCAACAGGAAAUGAACACACAUGGUAUAAUGCCGUGAGUGAAGGGAAGGGGAUUGCUUUGCUCUGCUCACAGACUGAAUGUAAAUGUCCUCCCAGAACUAAGAGAGAAAAGAGAAAUGUUGUCUUAUCACCUGCGACUGUAUUUAUUACCUUUACCUCAGCCAGCAGACAGAGAAAUUAGAAAACGAUUAUUUAGUGACUAAAAAUGUAGGAAAAAUUAUAUGUGGUAAUGUAACAGAAAAGUUAAAGCAAACAUCAAUCUAAACACUUGGAAUAAGACAGCUAAUCAACUAACUAAUUUUACCUGGCUUCUUCUAAUAUAAUACUGAUAUACAGGGUGGUAGUGGAGGUCUAAUAUAACACUGAUAUACAGGGUGGAGGUCUAAUGUAAUACUGAUAUACAGGGUGGUAGUGGAGGUCUAAUGUAAUAC